rnacentral:rRNA from 1 species
UACGGGGGGGGCAAGCGUUGUUCGGAAUUACUGGGCGUAAAGGGCUCGUAGGCGGCCAACUAAGUCAUACGUGAAAUCCCUCGGCUUAACCGGGGAACUGCGUCUGAUACUGGAUGGCUUGAGUUCGGGAGAGGGAUGCGGAAUUCCAGGUGUAGCGGUGAAAUGCUUAGAUAUGACAUAGAACACCGAUUGCGAAGGCAGCUUGCUAAACGAUUAUUGACGCUGAGGCACGAAAGCGUGGGGAUCAAACAGG